rnacentral:rRNA from 1 species
AGGGAAUCUUCCGCAAUGGGCGAAAGCCUGACGGAGCAACGCCGCGUGAGUGAUGAAGGUCUUCGGAUCGUAAAACUCUGUUAUUAGGGAAGAACAUAUGUGUAAGUAACUGUGCACAUCUUGACGGUACCUAAUCAGAAAGCCACGGCUAACUACGUACCAGCAGCCGCGGUAAUACGUAGGUGGCAAGCGUUAUCCGGAAUUAUUGGGCGUAAAGCGCGCGUAGGCGGUUUUUUAAGUCUGAUGUGAAAGCCCACGGCUCAACCGUGGAGGGUCAUUGGAAACUGGAAAACUUGAGUGCAGAAGAGGAAAGUGGAAUUCCAUGUGUAGCGGUGAAAUGCGCAGAGAUAUGGAGGAACACCAGUGGCGAAGGCGACUUUCUGGUCUGUAACUGACGCUGAUGUGCGAAAGCGUGGGGAUCAAACAGGAUUAGAUACCCUGGUAGUCCACGCCGUAAACGAUGAGUGCUAAGUGUUAGGGGGUUUCCGCCCCUUAGUGCUGCAGCUAACGCAUUAAGCACUCCGCCUGGGGAGUACGACCGCAAGGUUG